GCUAAUUCCAAGGUGAUGAUCACAAGGACGUGUGUGUUCUUCCUUUGCCUAGUCAGUUUUCUAGUUGGAAUGUCCAUCACCAACAGAAUAUGGAUGAUGCCUCCAAGUAAAGGCAGAAAAAGCACAGCCUUGGCUGAGCCCAAGCCUCAAGUAAAGGUCUCUAUAGGCUGCAAUAAGAAUCCGGUCAUAAAUCAUCUAAGCAAUAGCAGCCGAGCGGACACAUUGAUGAUCAGCAAGCAAUCCGAAA